AAAACACACAUUGUAAAAUAAGAAUUCUUCAAAGACAACUUGAAGACAUCUGGGAAUUCUGAAGCCUGAAAAUUCCAUGAGUUCAUAGCAGUGUUCACUAAUUCCACUGAUCUAAAGACAAAAAGGAGAGUCAACUGCGUGCCCAAACUCAUUUCUGAUGAUUUCUUCCAUCCUAACUUUUCUGCCUCUCUGGGGGUGGUUAUGCCUGUGAAAAACAUUGAAGCUGUCAGGAACAGAGUCGGCUUUCAAGAUUGGAAUGUCAAAGUAGAGUCUUCUUUUCCUCAGACCAGAAGGGGCUUGGUUGGGUAAGAGUUUCCAGAUCUAAAUGGAGACAGGACUGGGAUAUAGGAGCUUGUACGGAUAAACAACACAAACACCUUGGCCCCCACAUGCAAGAAUAGCAAUGCUGGCAA
rnacentral:lncRNA from 1 species